UACGUAGGGGGCAAGCGUUGUCCGGAAUCAUUGGGCGUAAAGAGCGCGUAGGCGGUUCGGUAAGUCUGCUGUGAAAGUCCGGGGCUCAACCCCGGGAGGCGGGCGGAUACUGUCGGGCUCGAGUCCGGAAGAGGCGAGUGGAAUUCCUGGUGUAGCGGUGAAAUGCGCAGAUAUCAGGAGGAACACCAGUGGCGAAGGCGGCUCGCUGGGAAGUUCCUGACGCUGAGGCGCGAAAGCGUGGGGAGCAAACAGG
rnacentral:rRNA from 1 species